AACAAACGCUGGCGGCGUGCCUAACACAUGCAAGUCGUACGAGAAAGGGUCCUUCGGGGCCUGAGUAAAGUGGCGCACGGGUGAGUAACGCGUGGAUAAUCUGCCCUUCAGUUGGGAAUAACUCAUCGAAAGGUGGGCUAAUACCGAAUAAUGCUGUGAGACCUCGGUUGAUCAGCCAAAGAGAGCCUCUGCUUGCAAGCCCUGGCUGAAGGAUGAGUCCGCGUACCAUUAGCUAGUUGGGAGGGUAAUGGCCCACCAAGGCGACGAUGGUUAGCUGGUCUGAGAGGAUGAUCAGCCACACUGGAACUGAGACACGGUCCAGACUCCUACGGGAGGCAGCAGUGAGGAAUCUUGCGCAAUGGGGGCAACCCUGACGCAGCAACGCCGCGUGAGUGAGGAAGGUCUCCGGAUCGUAAAGCUCUGUCGGAUGGAAAGAACCGCAUAGGGGUAAACAGCCCCUGUGUCUGACGGUACCAUCAAAGGAAGCACCGGCUAACUCCGUGCCAGCAGCCGCCGUAAGAC
rnacentral:rRNA from 1 species